rnacentral:rRNA from 1 species
GAUGAACGCUAGCGGCAGGCUUAAUACAUGCAAGUCGAGGGGCAGCAUGAUUGUAGCAAUACAAUUGAUGGCGACCGGCAAACGGGUGCGGAACACGUACACAACCUUCCAACAAGUGGGGGAUAGCCCAGAGAAAUUUGGAUUAAUACCCCGUAACAUAGCGAUGUGGCAUCACAUUGCUAUUAUAGAUUUUUCGCUUGUUGAUGGGUGUGCGGCUGAUUAGAUAGUUGGCGGGGUAACGGCACACCAAGUCUACGAUCAGUAGCGGAUGUGAGAGCAUGAUCAGCCACACUGGCACUGAGACACGGGCCCGACUCCUACGUGAGGAAGCAGUAAGGAAUAUUGGACAAUGGACGCAAGUCUGAUCCAGCCAUGCCGCGUGAAGGAUUAAGGUCCUCUGGAUUGUAAACUUCUUUUAUAAGGGACGAAAAAAGGCUUUUCUAAGUCGUCUGACGGUACCUUAUGAAUAAGCACCGGCUGACUCCGUGCCAGCCGCCGCCGUAACAC